UACGGAGGGUGCAAGUGUUAUCCGGAUUCACUGGGUUUAAAGGGUGCGUAGGUGGGCAAGUAAGUCAGUGGUGAAAUCUCCGGGCUUAACCCGGAAACUGCCAUUGAUACUAUUUGUCUUGAAUACUGUGGAGGUCAGCGGAAUAUGUCAUGUAGCGGUGAAAUGCUUAGAUAUGACAUAGAACACCAAUUGCGAAGGCAGCUGGCUACACAAAUAUUGACACUGAGGCACGAAAGCGUGGGGAUCAAACAGG
rnacentral:rRNA from 1 species